AUGCUCACUAGAACGCUUCAACCGAGCCUACAUGGUACUAUUACCAAAAACUCAAGCACCAACGGCCCUGAUGCAUUUAGGCCAAUCUCUCUCCAAAACUGCACGCCAAAGGCUGUUGCAAAAAUCCUCACUAACAGAGUUAAGCCUCUAAUACCGCUUCUCAUUCACUAUGAUCAGACGGGCUUCCUCCAUGGACGUAACAUUGCCGAAAACUUCAUUUAUGCUGCAGACAUUCUCAGUACAUGCCACACUCGUAAAGCUCAAACCAUGGUCUUUAAGUUGGAUUUCAGAAAGGCAUUUGACUCCAUAAACUGGACCUCCCUCAUCCGCAUUCUUACAGUACGUGGCUUCCCCUCCAUAUUCUGCGACUGGGUCCAUGAUAUCCUCUCCACUGGCAAAACGGCUAUCCUUUUGAAUGGUGUUCCUGGGCCCUGGAUACAAUGUCGAUGUGGCCUUAGACAGGGGGAUCCAUUCUCUCCAUAUCUGUUCAUCAUAGUCGCAGAUGUCCUCCAAAGAUUAAUUGCCAAAGCUUUUCAACCUAACAUCCUAUGCCACCCUCUAAGACCCAAUGAACCUCCGGUGACAUUGCAAUACGCAGACGAUACUCUCAUAAUCGCUGCUGCUAGCGAUGCAGCAACACUGAUUCUCAAAAAAACACUCCAUGACUUCGCUAUGGCAACAGGAUUGACGAUCAACUACCACAAAACUGCUUUUCUUACAAUUGCUACGGAACCUGAAACCCAAAAAAACAUUGCUGCUACUAUAGGUUGCUCAACAUCCGAUUUCCCACUGCAAUACCUAGGCCUUCCACUUUCCCCUUCAAAAUUACCGCUGACAGCUUUCGACCCUAUCAUAGAUAACUUUCGAAAGUUCCUCUUUGGCUGGGUGGCGCGCCUUCUCUCUAGAGGGGCCAGACUCACCCUCCUGACCGCUGUCCUGGACUCCUUAACGGUCUAUUUCAUGUCUGUUUUCAAGCUACCAAAAUCCAUCCUAGCCAAACUUGACGCUAUUCGGAGAGCCUUCUUCUGGUCUAACGAGUCUACAUGCACUGGGGCAAGCUGCCUUGUCGCGUGGAAAAAUGUUUGCAAACCUAAAGAUACUGGUGGUCUAGGCAUUAAAAAUCUUGAGAUCCAAAACCGCUGCUUGCUUAUGAAAUUUUCUUCCAAAAUUCUGCAACACCCAGAUGUCCCAUGGACCCUCUGGUUCAACCAACAACACCCUUUAGGUAUUGCUGCAAAAACUUCACGGCCCUCCUUUCUUUGGAGGGUUAUCAACCAUAACCUACCACUUCUCAUUGAGCACACCUUUGUCAUCACAUACAAUGGCCUCUCCACCUUCUUCUGGCUAGAUAAAUGGCUGCUGCAAUCACCACUUCAAAAAGUUUUCCCCAACCUAUACUCACACUCCAUUGAUGACAAGGUUUUAGUGGCUACUGUCUGGCAAACCAGCUUAUUAACGAACCUGCGGAAUCGUCUAUCUAAUGCUGCUGCUCGCGAGCUGGAUUGCGUGUUGUUGUUGUUGCAGGAUUUCCAACAGGUCGACCAACCGGACGAACGGUCGCUCACACAUGGCCUGCCGUUCACAGCAAAGAACGCAUACUCCACUAUUGUUGCUGAAGACUACAUCGACCCAUAUCACGACCUUGUUUGGGCCUCUAAAGUCCCGAUCAAGGUCAAGAUCUUCGCCUGGCUACUCCUACGCGAUCGGCUAAACACGAAGGCCAACUUAUUUCGCAAGCACAUUGCUCAAACAGCUGCAUGUCCCCGCUGUCAAGACCCUCAUGAAGAUGCGCUUCACCUCAUCUCCUGCUGCUCUAAUGCUACACAAGUAUGGGCUGCCUUGGGGUUGCACGCUCCAACCUCUCUCGAAAACCUGCUUCAACACCAAACGCUUCCAGGCCUCAACCCCAACAUCUGGCCAUCCGUCGCGCUCACUAUAUCUUGGAAACUUUGGGACUCAAGGAAUGCACUAGUCUUCAGAAACGAGGAUCAUUCUCACAGAACCACGCUCCGCAACAUUGUAAAUGACUUCUCUCUCUGGGUGUUUAGGUUCAAAAGAAGGAGGACAAAUUAUUCGCUAAGCAAUGGCUGUACUUCCUAUCCUCAGCUACAUCCUAAAAGGCUGAUGUAG
rnacentral:rRNA from 1 species